rnacentral:rRNA from 1 species
UCGCAGUCUACCAUGCAGUCGAGCGGUAGCACGGGAGCUUGGUCCCGGGUGACGAGCGGCGGACAGGUGAGUAGUGUCUGGGAAACUGCCUGAUGGAGGGGGAGAACUACUGGGAACGGUAGCUAAUACCGCAUAACGUCGCAAGACCAAAGAGGGGGACCUUCGGGCCUCUUGCCAUCAGAUGUGCCCAGAUGGGAUUAGCUAGUAGGUGGGGUAACGGCUCACCUAGGCGACAAUCCCUAGCUGGUCUGAGAGGAUGACCAGCCACACUGGAACUGAGACACGGUCCAGACUCCUACGGGAGGCAGCAGUGGGGAAUAUUGCGCAAUGGGCGCAAGCCUGAUGCAGCCAUGCCGCGUGUAUGAAAAAGGCCUUCGGGUUGUAAAGUACUUUCUGCGGGGAGGAAAGUGUUGAGGUUAAUAACCUCACCAAUUGACAUUACCCCCAGAAAAAACACCGGCUAACUCCCUGCCCCCAGCCCCGGUAAUACGGAGGGUGCGCGCGUUAAUCGGAAUUACUGGGCGUAAAGCGCACACAGGCGGUCUGUCAAGUCGGAUGUGAAAUCCCCGGGCUCAACCUGGGAACUGCAUUCUAAACUGGCAGGCUAGAGUCUUGUGGAGAGGGGUAGAAUUCCAGGUGUAGCGGUGAAAUGCGUAGAGAUCUGGAGGAAUACCGGUGGCGAAAGCGGCCCCCUGGACAAGACAGACACUCACGUGCGAAAGCGUGGGGAGCGAACAGGAUUAGAUACCCUGGUAGUCCCCGCCGUAAACGAUGUCUACUUGGAGGUUGUGCCCUUGAGACGUGGCU